UCCGCUGCCUCGGCCCGCGAAAGUGACGAUCUACGCCAGGCGAUGUCGCCAUUUUCUCUCUUCCUUUCUUCUUUUUCGGGCGUGCAAAGAAUCUUGGGAUAUGUGAGGCCACGAAGGAUCGUAGCGGUGCAUCCUCCAAAAACAGGGAAAAGAAGGAGCACUUGUGGGCAUCUGGAGGAGCCUUUGGAUUGGGACAGCCCUAACGAGCCGCCCGACCUGCAGCUCGGGUUUGCAAACACUCGCCAUCUUCAACUUCCUCUGCAGCAGUCGUCCUCUCGUGGUCGCCCCCUGCUGGUAGCAAACGUCACACUCACGCUGCCGUCUACAGGACCUGUGGGAUUUAGUCUCGUCAGACGUGUUGUUCGAGCGUUGCUGGAGGGAGACUAAUGAAGAAUUUUAUUGCCGGUGACUGCUUCACUGCAGCGACUGUUCAUCUGACAAUAAAGAGCUUGAAACCUCUUCA